rnacentral:ncRNA from 1 species
CAUAUCUGCUGUUGGAUUUUGGUGGAAUUAUAUGUAUGGAGUGCUCAAAGAAGAAUUUCAUUCUUGUAAGAAUUUUUAAGGCAUUUUUAAUUUGUAAACAACCUUUUUAUUUUACCAGUUAAUUCUCUUUUACUCUCAAAAUACUUUGUUGGGCCGACACUGACACUGAGAGACGAAAGCUAGGGGAGCGAAUGGGAUUAGAUACCCCACUAGUCCUAGCCGUAAACGAUGGAUACUAGGCGUUGUGCGUAUAGAUCCAUGCAGUGCUGUAGCUAACGCGUUAAGUAUCCCGUCUGGGGAGUACGUUCGCAAGAAUGAAACUCAAAUGAAUGAAAUAUUUACUCGUGGGUGCGGCAAGCUCUUCUAUU